rnacentral:rRNA from 1 species
UGGCAGCAGUGGGGAAUAUUGCACAAUGGGCGCAAGCCUGAUGCAGCGACGCCGCGUGAGGGAUGACGGCCUUCGGGUUGUAAACCUCUUUCAGUAGGGAAGAAGCGAAAGUGACGGUACCUGCAGAAGAAGCGCCGGCUAACUACGUGCCAGCAGCCGCGGUAAUACGUAGGGCGCAAGCGUUAUCCGGAAUUAUUGGGCGUAAAGAGCUCGUAGGCGGUUUGUCGCGUCUGCCGUGAAAGUCCGGGGCUCAACUCCGGAUCUGCGGUGGGUACGGGCAGACUAGAGUGAUGUAGGGGAGACUGGAAUUCCUGGUGUAGCGGUGAAAUGCGCAGAUAUCAGGAGGAACACCGAUGGCGAAGGCAGGUCUCUGGGCAUUAACUGACGCUGAGGAGCGAAAGCAUGGGGAGCGAACAGGAUUAGAUACCCUGGUAGUCCAUGCCGUAAACGUUGGGCACUAGGUGUGGGGGACAUUCCACGUUUUCCGCGCCGUAGCUAACGCAUUAAGUGCCCCGCCUGGGGAGUACGGCCGCAAGGCUAAAACUCAAAGGAAUUGACGGGGGCCCGCACAAGCGGCGGAGCAUGCGGAUUAAUUCGAUGCAACGCGAAGAACCUUACCAAGGCUUGACAUGGACCGGACCGGGCUGGAAACAGUCCUUCCCCUUUGGGGCCGGUUCACAGGUGGUGCAUGGUUGUCGUCAGCUCGUGUCGUGAGAUGUUGGGUUAAGUCCCGCAACGAGCGCAACCCUCGUUCCAUGUUGCCAGCGCGUAAUGGCGGGGACUCAUGGGAGACUGCCGGGGUCAACUCGGAGGAAGGUGGGGACGACGUCAAUCAUCAUGCCCCUUAUGUCUUGGGCUUCACGCAUGCUACAAUGGCCGG